CACGUGUCUUAAGCUCCGCCCACGGACAGUUCAUUUAGACUCCACCCCCUCACCUCACGUUGCUGAAAUGAAAAGCAGAUGGAAGAAGUUAGGAAUCAUUUUGCAUCAGUAGUGUUGCUGUGAGCUGAAUCGGCACUGCCUGUGCAACAUUUGGCAAAGUAAGUGAACGCUACGUUAUAUCUUCAUUUUUAAUGAGCUAAUGGCUAACUAGCUAAUUGGCACGAGGAGCCCCCACACGUAGGCCUGCUGGCCCCCAGCAAAGGACUUGAUAUGCUGUACAAGAUACAAGAUAUCAAGAACGAUGCAUCUUUAUUUUUCUUCUUGAUUUACAGAAAACCUUUGAGUCUUACAUGAAUGUGAGGUGGAUGGAGAUGUCUUUGAUGAGCUUGUCAAGUCAGGUGUUUUGACUUUCAAGGUCCUUUUAUCAGUGACAGGUAAGGAUGUGAAAACAUGUGAAAAUGCAUGAGGUGGUUUAGAUAUCACAGGCAGUGUGGACCCAUCAGGUACCUUGGCUUUGUCCAAAUGAGAUAUUGUUGUUGUGAUCUUUGAGGCCUCAAAAUGUAUUUUUGGUCUCACUUUACAAUAAGGUACACAAAAAUACAGUAGUUACUGAGGAACUAAAACAAAUACAGUACAUUUAGAGUAGUUAGUAAUGAACGAAUGAGUAGUGGUUAGGGUUAGAUAGGUUUGUUCCUCAUUCCUCAUCCUGCACGACUGUCAUUGUGUGUACCUUAUUGUAAAGUGAGACAGUAUUUUCAUUUGAUAUUCAAUUUUUAGCCCCUUUUCCAUAGGUUGAAAUUCCCCAAAAUUAUAUUUUUUGUUUUAGUUGUAAUUAGUGUUUUGUACUGUUUUGUAGAGUAAGAGAUUCAUUUGACUGGAGAUGAUGCAGGACUCCACUAUCCCCAGCUUCACCCCAGUCUCCACUCUUGCCUGCUACAUCCAUUCAUCAGGUUCGACAAUUUAUCCUUCAGCCCACAAGAAAGAGGAACCCAACAGAACCAAUGGAUCAGGAUGAAUCAAGACAGGAAAGUCGGUGGUGUUUCGAGGGCCAAUCCGAAAGGUGAGGAAAUCUUCAAGGAGUGCAACAAGACUAAAACACUACCUGAUGCAAGGUGUAAACAGAUGGUAAACAUCCUGGUUGGAGAUAUGAUGGAGCUGCAUGGGUCACUUCUCCCUUUCCAUUAGAACAGUCAUUCCACACUGUCAUCAACUGCAGUAAGACCUUGUAGUGGGAAUGGUUCUGUGAUCAUUAACGAUGACGUGUUUUGAAAGGAGGGGUUCCGCCAUCAUGUGUGAUGACAAAUUACGCCCUGAGAAUUGUGACUUGUUUUCCAUACAUCAAAGAUCCAUUCUCCAAACCUGGAUAUGAUGCUUAGCUUAGCGGCAGUGGCUCAGGAGGUAGAGCAGGUCGUCCAGAAAUCAUAAGGUUGGUUGGAUCCUUGCUCCCUCCACCCAGUCACUGUUGUGCCCUACACUUCUCCUGGCUCUCAAAGUUGUUCCAAGACUGUUUCUUCAGGAUGGUCCAAAAACCAGAGGAGAAUAUCUGUUAACUGGUCAACAGCUGUUUGAAGAUGAGAGCAACUUUCAGUAUCGACAAAAUAUGAUCCAAGCAGAAGAUGGAUAAUCGUCUGUCCUCGAUGUGUUCCCUCGCUUCCUUGAUGUUCCUGGACUGGUUUUGGACUAUUUGGACUAAUUGACCAGGAUUUCUCAAUGAUGUUUGCUGAUGAAGUAUCUGAGGUUCCUGGCAAGUGGUCAACUGUCUUCAAAGCAAAAGUCAUUGCAGACUGCAAGACUCUCCCGCAAAAGCAGAACAUUGAUGAGUUGCUGUCAGGAACUGAACCUCAACCUGAUGACAGCUGUGGCUGGGACAGUGAUACAUCCUCCAUCCUUCUACUCCUGCAUCUGCUCCCUCGACUUCUAGAGGCCAGGAAAAAAACAGCAAAGCUCAGUUUUUCAAGCAGCCAACCAUCUUCUCAGACAUCUUAAGGCAUGCAAAGGAAGGAGCCAGUGUGACCCCCUUCCAAGACUGUUGACACAAGACAGCCAUUUUUCCUCUGCAUCAGUGAGCGAAGGUGACAUCCAGAGGUUCUACAUGAUUGACCAAAAGCCGGUUCCAUGCAAGGCACAUACAUUUUUUGCAGCUUUUGAUGAACUGUUCAGCUCACUAUGUCUUCAGUCUCUCGUAUGGUUAAAAAUGGAUAAGAGCAAACAUUUGGGUCUGACUGCUGCCCAGUCAUGGUGUCUUCUAUGUAACACUCCACUUAUAUUUGGUGAUGCCAUUGAAAGGAAGAAUGAUCACUGGAACUUCCUCCUCCUUUUGAUGCAGAUUGUCAACAUAGUGUUCUCCUACACCAUAACUGAUUGAAUGAUGCUUUACUUGAAACAUCUGAUAAGUGACCCCCACACUCGGUACAAAGCAUUGCUUCCUGGUAAGAAGUUGAUUCCCAAGCACCGCUUGAUGAUACACUAUCAAAGAUGCAUUCAAAACAUUGGCCCUCUUAUCCAUACUUGGUGCAAGUGUUUUGAAGCCAAACACAAUUCGUUCAAAAGGUGUGGUUAAAAUUUUCAAAAAUCUCAGUCGUUUGUCGUGGCCUUUCACUAUGAAAAUUAUUAUUUUAGAAGAUUUGCAUUUGGCCCUACAACAUCAAAAACAAUCUGCAACUUGAAAGGUGGGGAGGAACGUGGUCAGGCAUGAUGUCUGCAAGCAUCUUCAAGUGUGUCAAGUACCAACUGGGUGAGAAGUUACGGUAUAGAGCACCAUGUUGGUGUGUUCAUAUGUACUGGAUGUAGCUUUGAUCGACCUGUGUUCAAGAAGAUCUGUGAUAUAAUAAAACACAAAGAAUGUGCUUUCAUAAUAGCUAUAAUGUAUCUGUGUAGGCUCUCAGUCGUACAGGAGUUGUCC